rnacentral:rRNA from 1 species
AUACGGAGGAUCCGAGCGUUAUCCGGAUUUAUUGGGUUUAAAGGGUGCGCAGGCGGCCAUUUAAGUCAGCGGUUAAAUCGUGGGGCUCAACCCCAUUCUGCCGUUGAUACUGGGUGGCUUGAUUGCGGUCGAGGUUGGCGGAAUUCGUUGUGUAGCGGUGAAAUGCAUAGAUAUGACGAAGAACACCGAUUGCGUAGGCAGCUGACCAGACCGCAAAUGACGCUCAUGCACGAAAGUGCGGGGAUCGAACAGGAUUAGAUACCCUGGUAGUCCGCACAGUAAACGAUGAAUACUUGUUUUCGGCGAUAGAAUGUCGGAGGCAAAGCGAAAGCGAUAAGUAUUCCACCUGGGGAGUACGCCGGCAACGGUGAAACUCAAAUGAAUUGACGGGG